rnacentral:misc_RNA from 1 species
GAUGAAGAACGCAGUGAAAUGCGAUAAGUAGUGUGAAUUGCAGAAUUCAGUGAAUCAUCGAAUCUUUGAACGCACAUUGCGCCCCUUGGUAUUCCAUGGGGCAUGCCUGUUCGAGCGUCAUUUGUACCUUCAAGCUCUGCUUGGUGUUGGGUGUUUGUCCUUGCUCUAGUGGCGGGACUCGCCUUAAAGUAAUUGGCAGCCAGUGUUUUGGUUUUGAAGCGCAGCACAAGUCGCGAUUCAAGUCUAUACGCUAGUUUCCACAAGUCUUUUAUCACUUUUGACCUCGGAUCAGGUAGGGAUACCCGCUGAACUUAAGCAUAUCAAUAAGCGGAGGA